UUUAGCGACCGCCACCGCUGAUCGAUGCAUGGUCGCGGUUGGGAGGAGUAUGAAGCGCCGAUCCAAGCACUGCAAAUCAGAGUUAGAGCUGCGCUGGGGAAGCACGCAUUAUGUGCGGCGGGAAGGUACAAAAGAGGAGCAGAUUUUCUCCACCUACUCGGAGUAUUUGACUACCAGCUUGGCGUCCUAGCUCAUUAUCAGCAAUAAGCCAUUUGAGAGUGAGUGUCGCCAUGCUAUCAGGUUGAGGCGAAUUGCCAAAGUUUUCAGCAGAAAAAACAUCACUAAAGCUAUUUGAUGGCCAUAGUGAUGGGUAGUGAAUACCGCUGAUAAAUUGCAAUAUCCACAACUUUCAGUCACGCGGGCUAUAUAAAUUAAGUUGCAGAAACUGAACACCACUAAGGUAGAAGGAAGUAAAGAGAAGACUAAAGGAAAAGAAGAAAUUACCGCCGGCAGCCCCGUCAGGAACCUCCUCGACAGAGCGUUUGCCUAAACUUAUGUCCCGCCUCCGAGACUUGGCAUCAAAGAGUAAAGGAUAGACAUGAGGUCGCACACGCUGAUGACCUGAUCCGCGGCCUACACCUUGGACAGGUUGCAUGACAGGCAAAGAACCAGCAUGAGGCAAAGCAGCAGCCCCAAAAGGUUCACGAUCAGAGCCAGCAGAAGUAAGAGCAGCAGCUGAACCAACAGCUGGGGCGGCAACACGGCGAAUCGGCGAAGGGCAGCACAGGAGUGUCGUCCGCUCCUGCAAGAACCGCGGCCUGCCGGCCGAGGAAGCAACUCACCCAGGCCACGCCGGCAGGAACUGGCGGGGAAGCCGGUGGGAUGGAAGGCGAAGGCUUCGGUAAAGACGGCAGGUGAGCAGGAGCAGGGGGUCAACUGUGAAGAGUAGGGCGCCGCGGCAAGAGUGGACGGAGCGGCGGCGGCGCUGGAGCCGGCCGCCGUCGCCCACGGCCAGGAGCAGCAUGCCACUCAUACAGAAACCUGCAACAAAACAGAUGAAGUGAGGCUGGACGAAGAAACGGAGGAGAAAAAAAGCAGAAGCAAACGAUGAGAUUGGAAAUCUAAUCAGGAGUGAAGAAGAACGCAAGGAACCCUAGGAAGAACGGACUCUCCGAUGUGGAGCCGCAAACGUAGGAGCCGAUAAAUUAGGCCCACAAAGUAGGAGGAACGGAGGAAAUAGCCACGUAAAAAGAUACGUGGCAGUUGGAUAGUAGAGGAAGUUCUCAGAAGGGGCAUGCAGAACCGGUCAACACCGGUGAAACCGGCAAAGAGCCUGAAUGAAAAAAGAGGCAACCGCUGCAAAAAAAUAGGAUCCACCUACUGCUCCCGCUAUCUGCCGGUAAAUAUGGAAUUGUAGAAAGAAAAAGAAUGAAGAGAAAAGGAAACAGACUCCCGUAUGUGCAGGAAACAGCGUUGCAUGAAUAGGACAGGAACCUGACGUGUUUAAAUCUGAAUGGUGAAAACGGAGGAGGUAACAGUACCCAAAACUUUCUCAUCAAAGCAGAUGGGGUUAGCUUUUAGAUAGGUAAUAAUAUUGGGCUGCCUGAGCCUGCCGUACGGCAGAUCGAUACCCCAAAAGACAAAUUAAAAUGGCAUCAAGAAAAAAUUGUAUGAUUAGACCAGCUCAAAAGUCUAUCAAAAACUGCUAUUUCAGCUCAGCCUGUAGCCUUUCGUCUAACUACCUCGCGAUCUCACUCACGAACACAGAGGACAGAGACAAAGGUUUUUGUGCUGCGAACGACUUGCAGCUUUUAUGUUUCGUUCUUCCUUUUAUUCAUGCAAGGACUGAUCGUGCUGAUCA